GCCAACGUAGCUCAAAUAAAGCGUAACACCGAAGAUGUUAAGAUGGGCCCUAGAAAGCCCCGCAGGCA
rnacentral:tRNA from 1 species